GAUGAACGCUGGCGGCGCGCCUAACACAUGCAAGUCGAACGAUUAAAGCACCUUCGGGUGUGUAUAAAGUGGCGAACGGCUGAGUAACACGUGGGCAACCUGCCCCUUUCAUUGGGAUAGCCACGGGAAACCGUGGAUAAUACCGAAUACUUCGAGACUUCCGCAUGGAAGACUCGAGAAAGCUCCGGCGGAGAGGGAUGGGCCCGCGGCCUGUUAGCUUGUUGGUGGGGUAACGGCCUACCAAGGCAAUGAUGGGUAGCUGGGUUGAGAGACCGACCAGCCAGAUUGGGACUGAGACACGGCCCAGACUCCUACGGGAGGCAGCAGUGGGGAAUCUUGCACAAUGGGCGAAAGCCUGAUGCAGCGACGCCGCGUGCGGGAUGAAGGCCUUCGGGUUGUAAACCGCUUUCAGCAGGGACGAGGCGAAAGUGACGGUACCUGCAGAAGAAGCCCCAGCUAACUACGUG
rnacentral:rRNA from 1 species